GGGGGUAUAGCUCAAUUGGGAGAGCAGCAGACUGAAGUUCAGCGAGUCUUUGUUCAUCUGAAGGUCCCGCGUUCGAUCCGCGGUACCCCCA